UCUCCGUUGGUGAACCAGCGGAGGGAUCAUUACCGAGUUUACAACUCCCAAACCCAAUGUGAACGUUACCAAACUGUUGCCUCGGCGGGGUCACGCCCCGGGUGCGUCGCAGCCCCGGAACCAGGCGCCCGCCGGAGGAACCAACCAAACUCUUUCUGUAGUCCCCUCGCGGACGUUAUUUCUUACAACUCUGAGCAAAAAUUCAAAAUGAAUCAAAACUUUCAACAACGGAUCUCUUGGUUCUG
rnacentral:misc_RNA from 1 species